UGUUUUGUCCAAAUGGGAAAA
rnacentral:piRNA from 1 species